rnacentral:rRNA from 1 species
GAUGAACGCUGGCGGCGUGCCUAAUACAUGCAAGUCGAGCGAACAGACGAGGAGCUUGCUCCUCUGACGAUAGCGGCGGGCGGGUGAGAAACACGUGGAUAACCUUCCUAUAAGACUGGGAUAACUUCGGAAAACCGGUGCUAAUACCGGAUAAUAUCUUGAACCGCAUGGGGCAAUAGAGAAAUACGGUUUUGCUGUCACUUAUAGAUGGAUCCGCGCCGCAUUAGCUAGUUGGUAAGGUAACGGCUCACCAAGGCAACGAUGCGUAGCCGACCUGAGAGGAGGACCGGCCACACUGGAACUGAGACACGGUCCAGACUCCUACGGGAGGCAGCAGUGGGGAAUAUUGGACAAUGGGGGAAACCCUGAUGCAGCGACGCCGCGUGUGUGAAGAAGGCCUGCGGGUUGUAAAGCUCUUUUAGUGGGGACAAAAAGCACUGGGCUAAUACGCUCGUGUCUUGAUUGAACCCAAAGAAAAAGCACCGGCUAACUCUGUG